UACAUGUGGGGCAAGCGUUGUUCGGAAUUACUGGGCAUAAAGGGUGCGUAGGCGGUGUCGUCAGUCUGGGGUGAAAUCCUGCGGCCCAACCGUGGGUCUGCCUCGGAUACUGCGAUGCUUGAGUGCGUGAGGGGUGAUCGGAACGCGUGGUGUAGCGGUGAAAUGCGUAGAUAUCACGCGGAAGGCCAACGGCGAAGGCAGAUCACUGGUGCGCAACUGACGCUGAGUGCACGAAAGCGUGGGGAGCAAACAGG
rnacentral:rRNA from 1 species